rnacentral:SRP_RNA from 1 species
GCUGGGCGUGGUGGUGCACGCCUGUAAUCCCAGCUACUUGGGAGGCUGAGACACGAGAAUCACUUGAACCCAGGAGGUGGAAGUUGCAGUGAGCCGAGAUUGUGCCACUGCGUUCCAGCCUGGGCGACAGAGUGAGACUCUGUCUCAG